rnacentral:rRNA from 1 species
GACGAACGCUGGCGGCGUGCCUAAUACAUGCAAGUAGGACGCAGUUGCGAACGGGUGAGUAACGCGUAGGUAACUGCCUCUUAGAGGGGGAUUAAUAUUGGAAACGAUAGCUACUACCGCCUACUCGUAGAUGGACCUGCGUUGUAUUAGCUAGUAGGGAGGGUAAUGGCGUACCUAGGCGACGAUACAUAGCGGACCGGAGAGGGUGGUGGGACAGAAUGGGACUGAGACACGGCCCAGAGUGCUAGGGGAUGCAGCAGUAAGGAGUCGUCGGCGAUGGGGUGAACAAUGACCGAGCAACGACGCGUGAGUGAAGAAGGUUUUCGGAUCGUAAAGAUGUGUUGUUAAGGAAGCGGUACUAAACCAGAAAGGGACGGCUAAAUACGUGCCAGCAGCCGCGGUAAUAC